GCUGUGGUCUCACAUGGCCUGUGCUUCUGCUUACUGCCCAAUGCCUCAGGUGAGCCGCCUUUGCUCAUUGAGCCUGUAUUUUCUCGUCUGUAAAUGGCAGCUAUUUAAGGAACCAACCUUAUCAGAUUGUUAUAAGGAUUUAUUUGGUCAUGUUUCAGGAACCUUGCUGGGGACACAAUGGUAGGAUCAUAGAAGAUGUGGAAUGUUAAUCAGAUUAUUGCACAAUUGUGCCUGUAGUGGGGAAACUGGAGAUGUGUUGCAGUGAAGUCCAGAAACGCUGUUGUUUAAACCCUGCAUUAUCAGAAUAUCCUUGUAAAAUAUUGAUGUUGAGAUUUCAGCAAAACAUUUGGCUUCUCUAAGCUUCAGUUCCCCCUUCUGGAAGAGCGAUGCCCUAGUGACAUG